UACGUAGGUGGCAAGCGUUGUCCGGAAUUACUGGGUGUAAAGGGCGUGUAGGCGGGAUCUUAAGUCAGAUGUGAAAUUCCAGGGCUCAACUCUGGCGCUGCAUCUGAAACUGAGAUUCUUGAGUGCUGGAGAGGAAAGCGGAAUUCCUAGUGUAGCGGUGAAAUGCGUAGAUAUUAGGAGGAACACCAGUGGCGAAGGCGGCUUUCUGGACAGUAACUGACGCUGAGGCGCGAAAGCGUGGGGAGCAAACAGG
rnacentral:rRNA from 1 species